ACCUCCCUCUUUCUUCAUGCCUAACACAUGCAAGUCGAACGAGACCUUCGGGUCUAGUGGCGCACGGGUGCGUAACGCGUGGGAACCUGCCCUUAGGUUCGGAAUAACUCCCCGAAAGGGGUGCUAAUACCGGAUAAUGUCUUCGGACCAAAGAUUUAUCGCCUUUGGAUGGGCCCGCGUUGGAUUAGCUAGUUGGUAGGGUAAAAGCCUACCAAGGCGGCGAUCCAUAGCUGGUCUGAGAGGAUGAUCAGCCACACUGGGACUGAGACACGGCCCAGACUCCUACGGGAGGCAGCAGUGGGGAAUAUUGGACAAUGGGCGAAAGCCUGAUCCAGCAAUGCCGCGUGAGUGAUGAAGGCCUUAGGGUUGUAAAGCUCUUUUACCCGGGAUGAUAAUGACAGUACCGGGAGAAUAAGCUCCGGCUAACUCCGUG
rnacentral:rRNA from 1 species